AUUGAACGCUGGCGGCAGGCCUAACACAUGCAAGUCGGGCGAGCGGCAGACGGGUGAGUAAUGUAUGGGGAUCUACCUGAUGGAGGGGGAUAACUACUGGAAACGGUAGCUAAUACCGCAUACCAUCAGAUGAACCCAUAUGGGAUUAGCUUGUAGGUAAGGUAACGGCGUACCUAGGCGACGAUCCCUAGCUGGUCUGCGAGGAUGAUCAGCAACAAUGUGACGGAUACACGACCCAGAAUCCUACGGUAGGCAGCAGUGGGGAAUAUUGCACAAUGGGCGAAAGCCUGAUGCAGCCAUGCCGCGUGUAUGAAGAAGGCCUUCGGGUUGUAAAGUACUUUCAGUCGGGAGGCGUUACCGACAGAAGAAGCACCGGCUAACUCCGUGCCAGCCGCCGCGGUAAUAC
rnacentral:rRNA from 1 species